AUUUCUUUUCCACAGAUUCUCUGCAAGUCUGGCAUGCUGUGUAGUGUUUUGAAAACACUGUGGACCAGAAUGGUGAAAGGAGCUUGAGGAAGAGGUGUUGCAUACAUUUCACUACAAUUAGCUUUCAAAAUAUGUUGUUCUUUGGAGCCAUAACUAUGAGAUCUUUUGAGAUCUUUUUCUUUUUUUCUUCUUGUUAUCCCCUUGCUUGGAGUGAAUGGGAAAUGAGUUUUAAUAACUAGACAGAAAACGGAAUUUCUACCCCUCUCCCAUGACAUUCCAAAACGUUUCCAAAAACUGCCAAGAAACAGAAUCUUCUAUUAGUAAUGCUUUAUUCUAGUUUUGACUUUUAUGUUGCUAUACAACACAGGAAUGUUGGCUGGAGAAAGACAGGCUUUAAAAGGGAAAAACUAAAGCCAGGAGUACCCUGAGAAGCUCAUAUCUUUUUCUCCUUUGUGGCUUGUGCCUGCUGCCCAGCUGAUCAACAUGUGCUUCUGUCUUGCCCAAGAAGGGAAACGUCGAAAGGAAUUCAGUACAACUGAUAUUUUGCGUGAAGAUGAGCAGGAAGAGAGGAAAGGAAAAUAAAAGCGGAAUAAAAACAGGGAACCGAACAUCCAAAUAACUUGAGUAGCUUUGAAUAUACAAUGUUAAAUGUUGAAGUACAGAUGCUAGAACCUAGCUUUUCAGCUUCUCUUGCCCAGACUAACUGGGAUUAGCUGAAGCCCAUGCCAGAUGGUGUGUAUAGAUAUGCUGCACAGACCUGGAAGGGCACCUUGUCAGAUGAAGAGCUGGACACUUUGGAGGACCCUGCUCUGAAGGAGCCGCACUAUGGUGUAAAGAGCUUUUGGAGCAAAUCCCAUUAAGCAAACUUCACAUCUCCGUAUCUGGAAAAAAUAUUCUGGGAAAAUUAGAAUUGCUUCCUUUUUUAUUAAAAUUCUAAGGGGAGGAAAAAAAAUCAUAGCUUUCCCAUUCACUCACUCUUGUCAUCUCUGGAUUGUCUGUCAAAAUGUGGAGAUCACUCAUGCCAGAGGAGCGGUGAGCCAAACCCUGACAUGCGUGGCAGGUCGGGGGCCACAGCAGCACCACUAAUGAAACAAUGGCCGCUCUCUUAGGAAGAAGCUGGCUGCUGGUCUCAUCUGGCAAUUGAUGCUGUUUCACUAUUGAGGUCAAGUACAACAAGCAAACGAUGGUCACAUCUCAUUGGCAGAGGAAGAAAAGACUCUCACAUGUAGAAGAUUCACAGCCUCUAUACCCAAGAGGAAGAAAAAAGCAUCAGCGAUUGGUAAUUUCCUCCUGAAACCCUCACCUGCCUAGUGGAGCAGACAUACUAGAGUGUGCAGCUUCCAAAGAAUUUGGCUCCAACAGAUUACUGUAAAAUGGAUGAAGUUCAUCUCUCAUGGUGAUCACAAGCCUGAAUGCUCCUCAAUCUGGGUCAUAUUGGUACUUUCAGAAUUGAUGCUGAACAGAUCAAAUAUUACUCUGUGAAGAUAGGAGACUCAUGGUAUUUGUAUAAAUUUUCCCAGAUGCAAAUC
rnacentral:lncRNA from 1 species